UCUAACGCGUCAGCGUCGGCGGGGGAUAGACGGAGGGGGAAAGCGUUGCUCGGAAUUACGGGGCGGAAAGGGUGCGUGGGCGGGAGGGGAAGUAGGUCGUGAAAUCCCGCGGCUCAACUGAGGAGCGUCGAUCGAAACGGCCGUUCUUGAGGGUUGCAGAGGAGACUGGAAUUCCCGGUGUAGCGGUGAAAUGUGUAGAGAUCGGGAGGAACACCGGUGGCGAAGGCGGGUCUCUGGGCAACUCCUGACGCUGAGGCGCGAAAGCGUGGGGAGCAAACGGGAUUAGAUACCCCAGUAGUC
rnacentral:rRNA from 1 species